CGGACUCCAAUCAGUCAAGAUUACCCGCUGA
rnacentral:rRNA from 1 species